rnacentral:sRNA from 1 species
CGUUAAUGGUGCAAAAUACGCGCCAGCAAAAAUAGAAGACUAACCGACGUUUAAGAGACGUCGGUUAUUUUUUUGC